CGUAGGUGACGAGCGUUAUCCGGAAUUACUGGGCGUAAAGCGCACGCAAGCGGUUGGCCAAGUCUGACGUGAAAUCUCCUAGCUUAACUGGGAGCGGUCGUUGGAAACUGGCGAGCUUGAGGCGAUGAGAGGGAUGCAGAAUUCCUGGUGUAGUGGUGGAAUGCGUAGAUAUCAGGAGGAAUACCUGUGGCGAAAGCGGCAUCCUGGCGUCGUACUGACGCUCAUGUGCGAAAGCGUGGGGAGUGAACGGGAUUAGAUACCCCGGUAAUCCACGCUGUAAACGAUGAACACUAGGUGUAGGGGGUGUCAAACCCCUCUGUGCCAAAGCCAACGCGUUAAGUGUUCCGCCUGGGAAGUACGGCCGCAAGGCUA
rnacentral:rRNA from 1 species